CAAGUACCACUGGUACAUUUAAAUAGCAGAGAUACAUUGAGGGAAAUAUCAAUGCAAUCAGGCAUGUAAGAGUGAGGAAGAAAAGCAGGCAGAGGCACAAAGGGCAGAGGAAUGAGGAGAAUGAAGGGUGGUUGAGUAACAGCCCAUGCAAAGAGGACCAUCUUGGAGAGAUCUGAUCUGGCUGCUAGAGAUUCUUCUGCAAAGCACAGAUAGCCUUUACCACCGUCCACAGGACUGAAAAUUCAAAGCAUGCUGCCUCACAAAGCCCAAGUUCUACAAAUAACUUUAUUUUAAGCACAUCCUAUAGGCUGUGUUCGGCCCAUAAAUGUUCCAUUGCAUUUUUCAACAACCAGUUACUGGCUAUACCUCAGACCUUUUCCAGUGAAAGCACCACGAAUGUACACAAUGUGAGAGUAUGGGCAAUGAAGAUUUUCUUCUGUGACAAACUCCACUCUGAACACUGUCACCUCCCCACCCAGCUCUCCCAAAUCUUGCUGCUGCUGUUGUGAAGAUCUGCUGCUCCACAGGCACCUCCCCACUCCAGGUGCCAAGCCCACAAGGCUUCCAUGGCCUGCUUUCCUAUGAAGUUGUUUUCUGCACAAAUGAGAGCAACAGAUUUGUGCUGAGCAGAUGGAAUGCAAUGUGGCCAAGGGGCUGGAAACAAAGAAGUCUGACAUAACUCAUUCCUGGUGAUGCUCACAUCCUUCUGCACAGCCACAGGUUGAACUCACUGGGCAAACAAACUCAGCUGAAUAAGCACUUGCCUCAUGCCCAUUUUUUCUGGGAUCCAUUUCUGGACACAGAUACCUGGAGGGAAAAGAGGAGUUUGUUUGAAAAGCCUGGAGCCAACCUGCGCUGUGCCCAAAUGCUGGGCCCAGGCAUCCUGCUCAGAACUGCCUGGUUCCACCAAAACCCAGCACCCUCCAGACAGAGGAUGGAAUAACCUGCAAAGACUGACAGAUUCAAACAAGGGAUCACUAACAGAAUUUCUUUGUUUGCUACAAAAGGAAAAACAAAGCAACAGGAAAAUGAAGUGAUGUUCCUCCUCUGGCAGAGAAGAAAUGAAGUCUCCUCCCCCUUCCAAAGGGGAUCACAGUUUGCCAGCUUUGGCAGCCACUGCAGUAUUUAAAAUAGAAAUGGAUCCCAAAAUGUGAUUUGGCAAAGACACGCUGAAAUAUUCAGUACUUGGUGUUCCAGUGCAACACUCCUCCUGAUGCACCUGUUACUGAACAACUCGACUACAAGAACCACCUUUGGAAGAGAUUUGCUGCUGCUCUGGGAAGAUAAGGGGGGUUAACCUGCAAGGAAGCACGACCCAGCAGCCUGCCUGCCAACAGGUUCUUGGAGCAAGAUGCCAGUUAGGGAACGGCACAGCCCCAGGGUUAAUGAAAUACAGGGCAAGCUCUGAGCUCUGUUUCUGCUGACAUUUUCUCUCACAGGGAUGCUGCUGCCUUAGCUGCACACAAAAUACUUACCAGGCAAAAUUCAGAGGCACAGAGAGCUUUGCCCUAACACGCCUUCGUUUUCUGUGCUUCCCCAGCAAUGUUAUCUUAGCCAAAAAUACUGUCCUUAAGUC